GAUUACCCACAAACCUCUGUUAGCCUGACUUUGGUCAGGUUGGCAUACCUGGUUUUGUCUGCUAUAUCUUUUUUUCAGGCCUAACACUGGCAAGAACAGAAACU